rnacentral:rRNA from 1 species
UACCAGCACCCCGAGUGGUCGGGACGAUUAUUGGGCCUAAAGCAUCCGUAGCCGGUUUUACAAGUCCCCCGUCAAAUCCAGCUGCUUAACAGAUGGGCUGCGGAGGAUACUAUAAGACUAGGAGGCAGGAGAGGCAAGCGGUACUCAGUGGGUAGGGGUAAAAUCCGUUGAUCCAUUGAAGACCACCAGUGGCGAAGGCGGCUUGCCAGAAUGCGCUCGACGGUGAGGGAUGAAAGCUGGGGGAGCAAACCGG